rnacentral:rRNA from 1 species
AACGAACGCUGGCGGCAGGCCUAACACAUGCAAGUCGAGCGCGCCUUCGGGUGAGCGGCGGACGGGUUAGUAACGCGUGGGAACGUGCCCUUCUCUACGGAAUAGCCUCUGGAAACGGAGAGUAAUACCGUAUACGCCCUUUGGGGGAAAGAUUUAUCGGAGAAGGAUCGGCCCGCGUUAGAUUAGGUAGUUGGUGGGGUAACGGCCUACCAAGCCUACGAUCUAUAGCUGGUUUUAGAGGAUGAUCAGCAACACUGGGACUGAGACACGGCCCAGACUCCUACGGGAGGCAGCAGUGGGGAAUCUUAGACAAUGGGGGCAACCCUGAUCUAGCCAUGCCGCGUGAGUGAUGAAGGCCUUAGGGUCGUAAAGCUCUUUCGCCUGUGAUGAUAAUGACAGUAGCAGGUAAAGAAACCCCGGCUAACUCCG